rnacentral:lncRNA from 1 species
AGGGCCGCGCGCCGUAGUGAGAGGGGCACGUGACGCCCCCACCCAGCCGGCGGAGGGGGAGGGGAGCGGGUGUUCUGGCGCGCGCGCCGCCGCGCGCCCUCCCUCCCUCCCCGUGGCUCCCGGGGCCGCGCCGUCCGCUGGGAUGGGAUUUUCCCUGCUGGGAUUGGCCAUGCAGAAGCAGCGGACAAGCAGUCGACGCCUCCGAAGAACAACUCUAUUUGGGAAGGGGUACCCAGGAAUGAGCUCUUCGUGGCCUCCGAGGAUGGGCCUAGCCUAACCCGACCCUUAAUCUCCUGCAGAGACUCAGAAUCAGUCGUAUUGCAACUCAUUUAAUAUUGUGAUGUUAAACUUCGAAUGUAUUUUUAUGGUAUUCACAGAGUGCCCAGCAUAUGUCAAACGCUGUUCUAAGCGCGGGGGUAGAUCCAAAUUAAAUAGGACACCGUCCCGGUCCCGCAUGGGGCUCACAGUCUAAGUAGGAGAGAGGACAGGUGCCCCCAUUAGCUUAAGGACAUUUACUGCAAUAUACAGCACAUAGAGGAAUUUCAUAUUUUUUAGAAAUUCAGGAAAGGAUCUUAAUUUAUAACUCUGGGAAACCUUCCCACAACACAACUAUAUUGUCAAGGAAAAUAACUCAGUGGUAUCAUGGGGCCUGUCUGUUUUUUUGAAUAGAAGGAGCCCAGUCUAAUGGUAGGAGCACAGGCCUGGGAGUCAGAAGGACCUGGGUUCUAAUCCUGGCUCCACCACUUGGCUGCUGUGUGACCUUGGGCAAGUCGCUCAACUUCUCUGUGCCACAGUUACCUCAUCUGUAGACUGUGAGCCCCAUGUGGGACAGGGACCGCAUCCAACCUGAUUACCCUGUAUCUAUCCCAGGGUGUAGUACAGUGACUGGCACGUAGUAAACCCUUAGCAAAUACCAUAAAAAUAGGUGUAAUAAUAGUCGUGAUAUUUGCUGAGUGCUUAGUAAAAGCACUGUGCUAAAAACUGGGAUAGAUACAGUAUAGGCAGGUGGGACGCCAUCCUUGUCCAACAAGGGGCUCACAGUCUAAGGAUGGGGAGUGAGCAGAUAUUUCAUCUCCAUUUUGCAGGUGAGGCGUCUUAGGCGCAGAGAGGUUAAGCGACUUGCCUAAGGUCACACAGUGAGCAGGUAGCGGAGCCAGAAUUAGAACUCGGGUUUCCUAACUCUCAGGCCCGUGUUCUUCCCACCAAGUCCCUCUGCUUCUCAAUAAUAGCACUUGAUUAAGGACUCCGUCCAUUCUGCACUCUUAGGUUUGAAUUUCAAGUGUUAACUUGUUACGGGCUUGAGCUUAAUGUGGCCCAGACAGAACUCUUUAUCGUCCCACU